GAACGGCGCACAAUGCGGCCAAAAAUAUUGCUGGCCCGCUGUUCCGAGGUUCAUCUUGGAAUCAGGGGUUGGAACUAAAUCUAAAUUGGUUUAAAGGUAUUUUUUAUCAUUUCAGCAAGAGGUUAAGAUGAUCGAAACGUCCGGUUCGAGCCAUGAGUUGAUGCCGUCGUUCCGGGGAUAGUUUGUGCUCGUGUUGAUGCUCGUGCGGGGGAUAGGACGCCACACCAACACCGUCCGUUGCGCACAGGGUGACUGCGCGCGAACAUCCUCCCGGCCCUUGAGGCGGAUGCCUCAAUCCAUCGGAAGCGGGACCAGCUUGUGCACCGGCCGCUGAUACUCCUUCUCUCCUCUGCGCACGGUGACGUUGCGAACGACGCCGUACGGGUCCGGAUGUGCUGCGACGAUCCUUGCGAGCUCCGCAGGUGGUGUGUUCUCGUUCUUGAUCAGGACCAGCUGUCCCGGAUCCAGAUUCUGCUGCACCGUUUGCCACUUGUUCCGGUGUUGGAGUGUGGCCACGUAUUCGUCACGCCAGAGUGCCCAGAUCUCGUUGACGUGGCGCUGAAUCCGUUGUCACUUGUCCAGACGGCCUUCCUUGAUGUGGCUGAUGUCCGGUUCCGGCAGCAGGUUGAGCGGCUGGUUGAUGAUAAAGUGGCCCGGCGUGAGGGCCUCGUACGAGUCAGGCGACGCAGAGCUGGCACAAGGGACGCGAGUUCAAGCACGACUCGAUCUGCGUCAAGACGGUCGAAAGGACCUCGUACGUCAGCGCCGUGUUCCCGAGCACCAUUCGGAGGUGCUUCUUCAUACUCUUCACCGCCGCUUCCCAGAUUCCUCCCAUGUGGGGGGCGGAUUGAGUGAUGAACGGCGGAUGGAGUGAUAAAGCGUCCGACAGGUACUGGUUGACAGCUCCGUUGAACUCAGGUGACUGCAGGUGCUCUCGGAUGCGUCGGUCCGCGCCCACGAAGUUGGUUCUGUGGUCGGACCAGAUCUCGCUGCUUAUCCCACGACGGACGAACAUGCGCUUGAGGGCGGUCAAGAACGCGCUCGUGGACAGGUCGGAAACGGCACUGCCUUGGUCGCGAGGCAAACGAACACAGCGACGUAACCCUUCACUGUCUUGGCCGUUCGAAGGUUGGAGGUGCGUACGAGGAAUGGACCCGCGAAGUCCACACCGCAGUGCACGAAAGGACGAGCCGGGUUCGUCCAUACGGAAGGCAGGCUUCCCAUCAGCUGCGUCGCGGUUUUCGCCUUCAUUCUGCAGCAGCGCGUGCAGUUCGCAACGUAGCCACGCACCACCGUUUGGCAGCCAACGAUCCAAUAUCUUUGGUUGAGUGUGGCGAUCAUCAGAGUUGGUCCUGCGUGCAGGUUGCGAAGGUGGACUUCUGACAGCAGCAAGUUCGUGUACCGAUGCUCUUUCGGGAUGAUCAUAGGAUGGCGCACGUCGUACGGCUGGUUGGAGUUCUGGAGUCGGCCACCAACCCGCAGAGUGCCAUCUGCGUCGACGAACGGAAACAAAGCCUUGAGCUUGCUGUUGCUUGGAAGCGGUGCAUUCUUGACCAGGCAAUCGAUUUCCGUCUGGAAGCUGUCGUGUUGAGCUGCUCGCGCCAGUUGCAAGCAAGCGUCGUUGAUCUUCUUUGGCGUCAGCGGUCAGUAUGGGCGCGUUGGUGCGACGAACCCGAGAGCUGAGCCGCAGACGGUUGAUCCAGCACAAGAUGCGCCGAAUGUGAGCCAGAUCCGAGUAGCGGCCAGCUGGGGCCGUAAAACAGGGGGUGCAUCAGCAGCUCAAGCGGCGUGAUUCCCCGGGACGCGCAGUCGGCCGGGUUGUUCUUGGACGACACGUGGAGCCAGUGUUUGCGUGACAGAAACUGCAGAAUCUUGGACGUGCGGUUGGCCACGAAUGUUUUCCAUAGGACGAGUGGUUCGAGUGAAUGCGGCGGCUCAGCAUUGUUGCUGCUCACAAAAUCCAAGAGUAUGACGCUGUGAAGCUACACGCUAUUCCAAAACUACCAACAUCUGUUGAAGGACCUGUUCAACGCGGCGUUCGUGCCCGCUAGACCGACUUGAAGGAGGAGCUGCCGUCUACUUUAAUGGGGAUUGGGCGAUUCCCAAAAACUGCUCGAUAUGGAACUCAAAGCGACGGCCGGAGGUGUGCGCCUAGGUCAACUGUUUGUCGAAGAUUGGCGGCAAAUCCAACCCGGCCAUCGACGUCCAUCCGUGGCUCAAGUUCGCUGAGCUCACCGUGAACAUUUUUCUAAAGGACAGCUGCUCGAUGUCGGAGGAUUUGCGGAAGUAUCUUCAGCAUCACCCCGUUUGCACCCAGUUUGAGAUUGCACGAUCGCAGGAAAUUAGCCAAAAGCGCGCGCGUGCCAAGUGAAUCCGCGAGAAGCAAUUCUUUCAAAUCUUUGAGCGCCAGCUGGAAAAAUCGAUGGCUCGACCCGCCAAGAUUCAGAUCGAUCCCAACAAGCAUUUCCCACAUUGCAAACAUCCAUAAAUUGAGUCAAGAUUAAAACUUUGAAUCUUUCAGUAUGGAAGCGUCGGAAGCUACGACUUUCUAUGGAACCUACCCUAGGAACCUGCCCAAGAACGGACCAAUCCGCAUCCCCCGGUACAUUGGCUGGCGCUGGUCUUCCGAGGCCAAAGAUGCUGUCUAUCUCGUCCCGUUGACCUUCCCUCGGCACCGACCAGUUCCACAAACGCGUUUGAAAUGCUGGCCACACCGCCAGCUCCCAAACUGCUUCAGCUGACGGGCUCAAAAAUGUCCGCUGUCCCGUCGGCGGAACGCCGUCGCAGAUCCGGCUCGAUCUCUGCUGUCGACGCCAACGAGAAGCUGCUGGAAAAAGCACGCUACUCCGAGUUCCGUAACGAUUUGAGUUGGCCAUUGAGGCGGCGCUCGGUGCACCGCGGUGUAGGAAGACCUCCAGAAGAACCUUGGCGAAGACAAAAAAACAGGCCGUCCCCACCGUGGAAGGAUCAUCCACUCGGCCAACCAAAACACCAACCGCCUCCUCACACUCUGGUUUGACUUCGGCCAAUACCGGUCUUUGACGCCCCACCUGGUUCCAAGUGAUCCGGAAGCUAAAAGUCCAAAUCGACGACCCGCGCAUUCAAUAAAUAAAAUUAAACAAAAAUAAAAUUUUAAUAAAAUUCAACAAAACAAGUAGCU